AUUGAACGCUGGCGGCAGGCUUAACACAUGCAAGUCGAACGAGUGGCGGACGGGUGAGUAAUGCUUGGGAAUCUCGCUUGUGGAGGGGGAUAACUACGGGAAACUGUAGCUAAUACCGCGUACCAUAGGAGGCGCCACAGUGGGAUUGGGUGGUUGGUGAGGUAAAGGCUCACCAAGCCGACGAACUCUAGCUGGUCUGAGAGGAUGACCAGCCAGCCUGGGACUGAGACACGGCCCAGACUCCUACGGGAGGCAGCAGUGGGGAAUAUUGCGCAAUGGGGGCAACCUGACGCAGCCAUGCCGCGUGAAUGAAGAAGGCCUUCGGGUUGUAAAGUUCUUUCGGUAGCGAGGCGUUAACUACAGAAGAAGCACCGGCUAACUCCGUGCCAGCAGCCGCGGUAAUAC
rnacentral:rRNA from 1 species